rnacentral:tRNA from 1 species
UCGUUAGUUCAGUCGGUAGAGCAGUUGAUUUUUAAUUAAUGGUCGCAGGCUCGAGCCGAGCGAAGCGAGACA